CCUACGUGUGGCAGCAGUGAGGAAUAUUGGUCAAUGGGCGAGAGCCUGAACCAGCCAAGUCGCGUGAAGGAUGAAGGAUCUAUGGUUUGUAAACUUCUUUUAUAUGGGAAUAAAGUGAGGAACGUGUUCCUUUUUGUAUGUACCAUAUGAAUAAGCAUCGGCUAACUCCGUGCCAGCAGCCGCGGUAAUACGGAGGAUGCGAGCGUUAUCCGGAUUUAUUGGGUUUAAAGGGUGCGUAGGUGGUUAAUUAAGUCAGCGGUGAAAGUUUGUGGCUCAACCAUAAAAUUGCGGUUGAAACUGGUUGACUUGAGUAUAUUUGAGGGAGACGGAAUGCGUGGUGUAGCGGUGAAAUGCAUAGAUAGAACGAAGAACUCAGAUUGCGAAGGCAGCUUACUAAACUAUAACUGACACUGAGGAACGAAAGCGAGGGGAUCAAACAGGAUUAGAUACCCUUGUAGUC
rnacentral:rRNA from 1 species